AGUUAACUAAGAUAACAGCAGUAGAAUUACUAGCAGUAGAAUUAGAGAAGAUGUAAUUAGAAUUAAAAAAAACGAAAUUAGAAUUUUUCAGAAAAACGAAAUCGAGGAGAACGGAGAAGGAGGGAUUACACGAAAUCGAACAUACAUGCAGGUUGGAGAUCAGAUAUUGUAAAGCAGAGGAAUUUCGUCAAGAUUAACAGCAGUAAAAUUACAGAAAUCGAAGAAAUGGAGAGGAGCCGAACAUUUUGCAGGUCGUUGGAGAUCGGAGAUCGUAAAGCGGAGGAAUUUCGGCAACUCAUAUUUAGUGUUAAUCGAAAAAGGUAGUAGGCACACCGAGGGAGAAAACAAUAGAGUUGUACCCCUGGAAUUAAAGUUAGUUCUGGUUUGGUAGUAGUAAUAAAACAGUUGGUAAUGUAGUUGUUGUGGUAGGAUUGAUAGGUUUAGAAGUACGUAUUGUCUUAUUUAGAAGUACGUAAUAAAAUGAAGGUCUACAAUCAAAAGAUGGUAUGGAUGCUCUUCAAGUUUUUCCAGUGAGUCGUGCUGCGGCUGACAAGCGUGCUGGACGUGCUGGUAGGACUAGUCCUGGCACUUGCUACCGACUUUGUACAGAAAGUGCAUAUCUGAAUGAGAUGCUUCAUAGUCCUGUACCUGAGAUUUAGAGGACAAAUCUUGGUAAUGUAGUUUUGCUUUUGAAAUCUCUUAAAAUUGAGAACUUGCUAGACUUUGAAUUCAUGGACCCGCCUCCACAAGAGAACAUCCUCAACUCCAUGUAUCAGUUGUGGGUGCUAGGUGCCCUUAACAAUGUUGGGAGCCUGGCAGAGCUUGGUUGGAAAAUGGUGGAAUUUCCAUUAGACCUGCCACUGGCAAAGAUGCUACUGCUGGGUGAAAAGCUAGAAUGCCUUGAUGAGGUGCUAACUAUUGUUUCCAUGCUUUCAGUACCUAAAGUAUUUUUCCGUCCUAAAGACAGGGAAGAGGAGAGUGAUGCAGCUUAGGUAAAAGUUGACACUUCUCAAUGUGUACCAGCAAUGGAAAAGCAAUGACUAUCGAGGAGAUUGGUGCAAUGAUCAUUUUCUGCAGGUUAAAGCUUUACGCAAGGCUAGAUCACAACUUAUGGAUAUUCUGAAACAACUGAAGAUAACCUUUACAUCAUCUCCUGACUGGGAUGUGGUUAGACAAGCCAUAUGUUCUGCGUAUUUCUAGAACUCUGCAAAGCAGAAGGGGAUUGGUGAGUAUGUUAAUACAAGGAAUGGCAUACCAUGCCAUCUACAUCCAACCAGUGCUCUUUAUGUUAAUACAAGGAAUGGUACACGCCAGAGUAUGUUGUUUAUCACGAGCUGCUUUUGACCUCAAAAGAGUUCUUGCAGUGUGUCACUGCUGUGGAGCCUCAACGGUUAUCAGAAUUAGGGCCAAUGUUCUUCUCAGUUAAAGAGUCUCAGAUACAUCAUUGUUGGAGCAUAAGAAGAAACAGAAAGAAGAGAAGACAGCUAUGGAGGAAGAAUGGAGAGUUUGAGAAAAGAACAAGAAUAUGCAGAGAAAAAAAGGAAGGCGAAAGAGAGGGAAAAACGUCAUAAAGAAAACCAAAAAAUUGCUAUGCCAGGGUCGCGACAAGCUACCACAUACCUUAGACCCAAAAAGAUGGGUUUGUAAAAUGUAUAACUUGUUGCCAUAUACAAUGUAAAGAUAUAUAGUGAUUAGUCAAUUAGAGGCGAAUGUCAUUUUGUUUUGUUAGGAAUGG